GUUCCUCCUCCCUCGCCUUGUCCUCUGUUCGCUGCAGGUGUCCCUGUGUCCGUACCCCGCGAGGAGGUGCCGCCGUGUGCGCCUGCGGGCCUUUCCUGGGGCCCCGGUCGUGCCCGCGGCGCAGCGGGCGGGGGAGCUGGAGGCCCGCGGAGAGGCUGGGCCGCAGGUGCUCGGGAGGGCAUCAGGGAGAAUCAAACUCGUUUGCGGUGGUGGGAGCGUGUGGGGAGCCUGCGUAGCCUGUGUGACAGCACCGGCUGGCGACAGCCCUUCAGCCGUGAUUCCCUUGGACUACUGACCUGCUUCCAGAAGUUUAGCGGUGACUUCGUGACACGACAGGAUCGUUCAGUGAGGCUAAUUGUAGGAGUGGCUUUCAGGCGAGCACUCCCCAGGGCAGUGUUUCCUCCGCAGUCCACAACAUAAUUGUCUGAUUUUAUGCCUUCCCUGAACUCUCCCACUCCUUUUGUUCAUGUCUUUAGCAUCCUUGUUGGAGACACGGACCCUGUACAGCUCUGGUGCCCUCAGCACAAGAAAGAUACAGACCUGUUGGAGAGGGUCCAGAGAAGAGCCACAAAGAUGAUCAGAGGGCUGGAGCACCUCUACUAUAAAGACAGAAUAAGGGAAUUGGGGCUGUUCAGCCUGGAGAAGAGAAGACUCCGGGGAGACCUUAUAGCACCUUCCAGUACUUGAAAGGGGAUACAGGAAAGCUGGGGAGGAACUUUUCUUCAGAGAAGGAAUCAAGACAGCAGCAGUGGGAGAGCCCUCUGCAGUUUCUGGCUUCCAGUCCAGCUUUCCCUGUGUGAUCCAGAUAAACUUUCACUGGCUGUGGUCUUUGAGAAAUUACUCAGAAAUCUGACACCUUUCUCCUGCAAAUGCUUAUUAAAUCAGUCCUUCACCUCU